UGUCGGCGUAGAGCAGCCCGGUAGCUCGCCAGCCUCAUAGCUGGAGGUCGCAAGUUCGAAUAUUGCCGCCGCAACCA
rnacentral:tRNA from 1 species